UUCUCCUGUCUCAGCCUCCUGAGUACCUGGGAUUAAAGGGCAAAAGCUUGCUGACCACAAAGAACUUGUCUGUGCUGAUUACUGCUAGAUCUUGGAUGUCAAACACAGUGACCACAUUAUGGAUGCAGUGGAAAAUUGUUAAAUGAAUGAACAAAGUAUAGGUCUGCCAGUUUCCUUGGUAGGAGUUAAAUGCCAGUAUAUGUUUAUAUUACCUUAAUUUGUUUUCUUUAUCUAUAAAUAAAUCUUGCCUACUUCUGUUUGCAGGGUAAAAUUAAGGUGAUUUUCUUCUACAACAUGAUUGAGCUAGCAUACUCUCCAGGAGGGAACAGACAGGCAUUCUGAAAGGAUGUUUGCCUUUGAAGAUGGGCCUGUUAGUAUCCUCUAUUUUAUAAAUGAGGAAGUGAAACUCAUGUCAGCUGCCAUUUCUGCCAUCCAUAGGUGUGCAAAACAGGGAGAACCCAAGUGGAGAGUGGUGAAGAGUAUUGCAGUGCUAAACAAAAGUGACGUUCUGUUUUCAAAGGUGACUUCCAAUGAAGACUACUCUUUAGCCUGAACAUGGAGGGAAAAAGAACAGUGUCAGUACCCACAGUCCUAUUCUUCCUUCUACAUCUGACAUUAUUAUUUUUUUCCUUUCCAUAGGCUUAGGCUUCUAAUCCCGAUGAUUACUUUUCUUACCUAUUUCUGUAGCAUGUUUUCAUGCUGAAAGAGAAGUUGACGUGCUGUUGUCAUCGUAUUAAGGCCUAAGCAGAACAGCAUUAUUGGUAUUAUUAUUUUUCCUCUCACAAACAGGAUUCCACUUAAUCUCUUUUACCGGAUGGCACAGUUAAAGUGCCUUCUUCAUCAGAGCCUGUUUUAAACAAGCAGGCCUUUUAUUUUAUGACACUUAUAUUGAGACACAUUGAGUUAUAUCUGUCUUUUCAUUUGCACCAACACAUUUAUUUGAGGCCUCAUAUUUCCUAGGUAACGUGACUAAGGUAGAUUUAUCGGUGCUAAUUUGCAUACAGAACAACAUUGG
rnacentral:lncRNA from 1 species